AGUGCUCCAUCCAUCACUUUAAUCCUCGGCUGCCAAGCCUUGUAACCUCGCUAGCGUUACCCUCGCAGCUAGGCAGCUAGCACUAACCUCCAUGGCAAGUUCUACCCUUGCGGCCAGCACCGACCCUCGUGGCAAGCGCGGACGUCCACCACAAGCCAACUCAUCCGAGUUCUCGAAGCUGGCGAACCUUCGCGUAGCGAUAGUGCAGACGGGAGACACAAAGGGCACAGGCUCGCCACCCACAUGCGUAUGCUAA
rnacentral:lncRNA from 1 species